UCAGUGAAUCAUUGAAUCUUUGAACGCACCUUGCGCUUUUUGGUAUUCCAAAAGGCACGCCUGUUUGAGUGUCAU
rnacentral:rRNA from 1 species